UAGACAUGGAUGUUAAUAUUUGAUAAUCACUUUUAAUCUAGGACUUAAUGCUUUUGGGUAAUUUAAUCGGUUGGGAAAUCGUCGAUUAAACUAUCCAAUCGACUUUGUGAUCGUUUAAAUGUUUGGGAAAUUGAUGUUUAAACGAUCCCUUAGAAAUAACGAUAUCAUUUGGACACGAAUGAUAUUGUCGAGUGAUUGUGAUAAUAUCGUUUAAAAAGCUAGAAUCUGUUAAUUGAUAGAGAGAUUGCAGCUGUUACGCUUGGUUGAUAUCUCUAACCCGAAGCGAAAUGGUCAUAUCUCUUCUCUAUUUAUUUUAUGUCAAAUAGUUUAUAUAGUUUACACAAACACACAUUUUAAAUCCAUACACUUAGAACAAUAUUGAUUGUUGAAUGACUUAAAUAUCGCGCUAGUCCCUGUGGAGACGAUAUACACAAAAAUACUUACUUUUGAUUGAUAGAAAAAUACUACAUCA
rnacentral:lncRNA from 1 species